rnacentral:rRNA from 1 species
AUGCCUGUUCGAGCGUCAUUUGAACCCUCAAGCUUUGCUUGGUGUUGGGUGUUUGUCCCGCUUUUGCGCGUGGACUCGCCUUAA